rnacentral:rRNA from 1 species
GAUGAACGCUGGCGGCGUGCCUAAUACAUGCAAGUAGAACGCUGAAGGAAGGAGCUUGCUCUUUCCGGAUGAGUUGCGAACGGGUGAGUAACGCGUAGGUAACCUGCCUGGUAGCGGGGGAUAACUAUUGGAAACGAUAGCUAAUACCGCAUAACAGUAGAUAUUGCAUGAUAUCUGCUUGAAAGGUGCAAUUGCAUCACUACCAGAUGGACCUGCGUUGUAUUAGCUAGUUGGUGAGGUAACGGCUCACUAAGGCGACGAUACAUAGCCGACCUGAGAGGGUGAUCGGCCACACUGGGACUGAGACACGGCCCAGACUCCUACGGGAGGCAGCAGUAGGGAAUCUUCGGCAAUGGACGGAAGUCUGACCGAGCAACGCCGCGUGAGUGAAGAAGGUUUUCGGAUCGUAAAGCUCUGUUGUAAGAGAAGAACGAGUGUGAGAGUGGAAAGUUCACACUGUGACGGUAUCUACCA